AUGAUGGCGUCGCGUGAACGCGCAGUAAAAGUAAUGGCUGCUCUGGAUCGGCGGGUGCCUAGCCUCGAUGAUUUCGUGGGUCAAAGCUGGACUGCCUGGGCCGAGUGGGCUGGUGUGACAGCGGCGGAUGGGCCUGAUGUGGACGACUGCAGCAAGAAUGGCAAAAAGGCUGCAGAGGCUAUGUCUCUCAGUAAAGAGGACAUGUCCAUCUUUGGCCUCUACCCCGGCCACGAUGACUUCUACCUGGUGGUGUGCAGCCAUUGUGGCCAAGUGGUGAAGCCACAGGCUUUUGAAAAGCACUGUGAGCGGAGACAUGGGCCCGUGGCUAAGUUGUACGCCAGACUGCGCUCUCCCACCCCUGCACCCCAGCCCCAGCAGAGGCCCCACCACGGCCUCUCUCCUUCCCAUGGGACCAAUUCUGCUUCUACUUCAACCUGGGAGGGUAGAGGCCAGGGGGUUGGGCAGCUACGGGUAGCCCCACCUUCGCCUUCCACCCCACCCCAGUACAGACACUCCAAGAACUCCAAGGAUGGAGUACGACAUUCUCCACUGGAGAAGUCGUCCACCUACAGCAGCCACACAGAGUCAUCGGUAUUCAAGCAGCCGCCGCCUUUGGAGCCUCCAAUGAGCUCUCCACCUCCGUCACUCAGAGAUCCCCCGUGGCCACAUGGAAGCACCCCACCUGGUAGACCUUCACCCAGUGACAGGUCCCCCACCCAGAGCCAGAGGAAGGACUCCUCUCUGGCCUCUGCGGUGCCAGGCCACCGAAUUCCCAGACCCUACAACAAAGUGGCCUCCAAGAGGGAGUGUGACCUGGACAAGCACUGCGGAGUCCUCGACCCUGACAGGAAGAAAGUCUGCACUCGCCUCCUGACGUGUAAUAUCCACUCCAUCCACCAGAGGAGGAAGGUGGUGGGCCGAAGCAAGAACUUUGACCAGCUGGUGGUAGAGCUCAAGACCAAGGUUCGGGAGAAAGGAACCCAGUCGCUGGAGGGAGGCUCCUCCAGUGGACGAUCCCCCAGCCCAGAGCCCCCCAGGGAACAGGCGGGGACUCCGCACUGCAGAAGACCUCUGGCCAGCCUCCCUGCGUUCAGUCGAUCCACCGGUGUGUCAGAUUGCACUGCGGAAGAGGAGAAGCAGCGGCAGGAUGAGGGAAGUGUCAGAGCUCCUUCACCUCUCGUCCAUGGGCGAAUCUCAAGUGAUGAAAGUGAGACAGAGGGACCAGAGGAGCCACUAGAGUUGUCAUCUUCUUCUGCACAUCCUAGACCAUUAGCGGUGUGCUCAUUCGGCAGCCAUACGCUGGGUCACGGCAUCUACACGUUUGACAGGAGACUUCACCACCUGCGGUCGGCGCUCAGCAGUAUGCUGGAACAGCACAUCAGUGCCCAUCUUUGGAAGAAAAUACCUCAAGCCACAGACCUUCAAGCUCCAACUCCCUCGGCCAAGACCAUCACUUCCUCGUCUCCCUCCUCUAUAGCCGCCAUGUCCUCCUCUUCAUUACAUUCUAAGGUCCGCACAGGAAGUCACAUCAGCUCCUCCCUCAAAACUGCAUCCUCUUGUUCCUCUUCUUCCAGUCGUGUUCCAGGGAGACCCCCGACAGCCAUACAAUCAGAGAACUCCGGGGGUGGUGGCAGCAGCCUGGGUGGCGGUCAUCUGGUUUCUCCAGGUAAGCCUGUGGCGGUGCGUCAGGGGGGUCCCGGCCGACCCAAGAACCCGGUGGGGCGUCCAAGCAAGCAGAUGCUGAAGCUGCGCGAGGAGGCUGCUGCCGCUGCCGCCCUCCGGAAACGCAAAGCCCCGUCGCAGGAAGGGGAGCACUCAGGCCCUGACAGGAACUGCAUCAUCCUCCAGGACCGGGGCCGCCCACCCUCUGCCGCCUCAUCCUCCUCUUCCAAAGCCCCCAUUCCCUCGCCUCUCCCACACGGACAGACCAAUGGCACGCUUUCCCCAAGCAGCAAACCCCGCCCCCAGCCCUCCCCCUCAGAGUCACACUCGCCAGCCGCCAAGGCAGUCUGGACCUACCGACGGACAAACGCCCCUCUGGGCCAUUCAUCACCCCCAGACCUCUCCUCUGCCACCAACAAUUCCCACAGCCGGGCUGGAGUGGGGGACUCAGGACUGCAUGGGCAGGGCAGUGGGAGGGGCCUUGAGCACCAGGGACUGGUGAAGAAACGGAAGGGGGGGAGCAUGGAGGAGCACUCGCCCUCCUCCAAACCCUCAGCACACCGCCUGCCCUCCUCCUCCUCUUCCAGCUCUGCCACCACCUCCUCUCCGCGCUCUAAUUUCUACCCUUGGAAGGACAGUAAAGGCGGGGGGCUGGCCGGGGGCGUGGAGAAGAAACUUGGCACACAGAAGGUGAGUUUGGACGAGAGAGAAGCAGCGAACUGAGCAGCACAUACGAUGACAGGGAAAAUGAUUUGGAAGUUAAAGUUACAAUAUGCAGCUUUUCUCCUGGAGGCUGAGGCACCGUGCCUUUGUGCAUCAGUGGUAAGAUGUUCCUGGUCCAACACUCAUCUUGAAGAUUUGUGAUCAGUCGUAGAGCUGAUGUAACAGGCAGUGCGAGGUGUCAUCACGCCCUGAAGAAGCAGACAGUGAACACUGCUAACCUGACUAAUCUGACUGUUUUUUGGCUGGACUAGAGAUGAAACGGUUACCGGUUCACGGUAAAAAUGCCAGACGCCAAAACUGCACCAUUAAGUGUGCCUGCCUUACAAGCCACUAUGAGGGAGCCAGCUCUGCAGCCUCUGAGGCAACAGGACUCAAGUGUGUGUGUGUGUGUGUGUGUGUGUGUGUGUGUGUGUGUGUGUGUGUGUGUGUGUGUGUGUGUGUGUGUGUGAGAGAGCGAUAGCGCGCCUGUCUUUUGUCUAUUGAGCAUAUGCUGAAGUGUGAGUGUGUCAGGUUGUUUGUAUGUGCAGAUUUAGUGCAGUAUGGAUCUGUUGGUGUGAAUCGCUGCUGGGUGUGUGGGUCUGUGUGUUUGCUGUUGUCUGGAUGAAUGUCUGAGGGAGAACUUGGAGUAGGAGGGUGGGAUGAAAUUCAGAGUAUGGAUUUAGAAAUACCUCAAGACCAUCCGGUUAUGCUGCUAAAUUAAAUA